rnacentral:tRNA from 1 species
GCAUUGGUGGUUCACUGGUAGAAUUCUCGCCUGCCACGCGGGUCACACGGGUCCGAUUCCUGGCCAAUGCA